rnacentral:rRNA from 1 species
GACGAACGCUGGCGGCAUGCCUAAUACACGCAAGUCGAACGCUCUUGUUUCCUUCGGGGAACAAGGGAGUGGCGGACGGGUGAGUAACACGUAGGCAACCUGCCUGUAAGUCGGGGAUAACUCACGGAAACGUGAGCUAAGACCGGAUGGACGAGGGGAAGGCAUCUUCUUCUUGGGAAAGACGGAGCAAUCUGUCGCUU